rnacentral:rRNA from 1 species
CACGUAGGCGGACCGGAAAGUUGGAGGUGAAAUCCCAGGGCUCAACCUUGGAACUGCCUUCAAAACUAUCGGUCUGGAGUUCGAGAGAGGUGAGUGGAAUUCCGAGUGUAGAGGUGAAAUUCGUAGAUAUUCGGAGGAACACCAGUGGCGAAGGCGGCUCACUGGCUCGAUACUGACGCUGAGGUGCGAAAGCGUGGGGAGCAAACA